rnacentral:lncRNA from 1 species
CAGAUCCAAGAACAUACAUAACUUUAUACAAGCUGAGAUAAAAUCCAGAAAAUCCAAAAAAAAACCCAGAAAAAUACAAAUCAAGGCAGCAGAACAUGACUGCCAAAAGAAACCAGAACAUCCAUCACAGCAAGAAAAAAAUCCACAUCAGGAGAAUGGGGGCUAACUUCAAACAGGGCUAACCAUAAGAGCUUGAGCUUGCAUCUUCAUUAGCAUCAUGUUGAUUCUAAGUGUUGGAAGCAAUUUUGGUAAAACAUAGAGUGUUCACAAG